rnacentral:misc_RNA from 1 species
AACGCACAUUGCGCCCUUUGGUAUUCCUUAGGGCAUGCCUGUUCGAGCGUCAUUUAAACCUUCAAGCUCUGCUUGGUGUUGGGCGUCUGUCCCGCCUCGGCGCGGACUCGCCUUAAAUUCAUUGGCGGCCGGUACAUUGGCUUCGAGCGCAGCAGAAACGCGAACUCGGAGACUUUGGAUCAGCUCCCAGAAGCUAUUUUCUAUUUUUGACCUCGGAUCAGGUAGGGAUACCCGCUGAACUUAA